GCCCAAGAUCCUGAAUUCUGAGGGGAUCAGUCAUUCUGUGUCUUUGUGAUGUCUAGGGGUUUUGUUAUUGUCCUAUACUCUAUCUCAAGAUGACCAAAGAAUUCACCCAGAAUUCUGAAUGUGAGUAGGACCCACCCUGGACAUGAUUAUAUAUCUCUUCUGGCUCAGUUAGCAUACCAGGUGUGCAAAGAAGAGGAUUGAGCAUCCUCAGGAUCCUGAGCACCCUUUAAGGUUAUACGUACACCACAACUAUUACAUUGCCCGAAUAUGCCUAACUACUAUGAUUGCAAGAAACAGUGCAACUUUUAUUCAGAUUGUGGUAUUGGCAGUGAAUGCUGCUUGUCUGUCUGUGGAAAAAUCUGCAUGAAAAUGCCAGAACCUGAGACCCUCAGUGAUAGCAACCACCCCACCACCACCACGGUGGUGUCUACUGUUGUUCCCUUGAAUUUCACUGAGAUGUUCCAGAAGCAUCAUCAUCAUCAUCAUCAUAACACUACCUGAUAAUCAGUGGGACCAUUGUCUUGUCUCGGCGGGUUGGGGGAAGGAGGAGGACAUGUCUCCCCUACUUGUCAACCCUCUUCUCUGAACAAUUAUAUUGUCAGCUUCAGUUCAUUGACAAAUAAACAGUGGCAGUAACCCA
rnacentral:lncRNA from 1 species